GUUGGUUACACCUGAAGGCAAAACGUAAAACUUUUGACUACGGUACGAUCAGCGACUGGGGCGAAGUCGUAACAAGGUAGCCGUAGGGGAACCUGCGGCUGGAUCACCUCCUUUCUAAGGAAAUCGAAAAAUAUCAAAACAAUUAUUUUCGAUUUAAAAAAAUCGGUUAAUGUGACCGUCCUCAUUUCUCUUCUUUUAAUGUCUCUGAGUAAGUGUAAGUAAGGGGCCGGUAGCUCAGGUGGUUAGAGCGCACCCCUGAUAAGGGUGAGGCCGGAAGUUCGAGUCUUCCUCGGCCCACCAAUAUUAUGGGGGAUUAGCUCAGCUGGGAGAGCGCCUGAUUUGCAUUCAGGAGGCCAGCGGUUCGAUCCCGCUAUCCUCCACCAAAUUUGAGACAUUUAGCUUUUUUAAAUUGUAAAUAUUAUUAUCAAUAUCUAUAUCCGAUUGUUUUCAGAAUUUUUUUGAAAACAAUCAAAACAAAAAUUCAAUUUAUUACAGAAAAAAUUUUUUUCUGUGCAUAAAUCAAGCGUUUAAGGGCGAUUGGCGGGUGCCUUGGCACUGUAAGACGAUGAAGGACGUUGGUAUACUGCGAUAAGUUUCGGGGAGCCGUAUGCAGGCUUUGAUCCGAAAAUUU
rnacentral:misc_RNA from 1 species